rnacentral:rRNA from 1 species
GACGAACGCUGGCGGCGUGCUUAACACAUGCAAGUCGAACGGAAAGGCCCUGCUUUUGCGGGGUGCUCGAGUGGCGAACGGGUGAGUAACACGUGAGUAACCUGCCCUUGACUUUGGGAUAACUUCAGGAAACUGGGGCUAAUACCGGAUAGGAGCUCCUGCUGCAUGGUGGGGGUUGGAAAGUUUCGGCGGUUGGGGAUGGACUCGCGGCUUAUCAGCUUGUUGGUGGGGUAGUGGCUUACCAAGGCUUUGACGGGUAGCCGGCCUGAGAGGGUGACCGGCCACAUUGGGACUGAGAUACGGCCCAGACUCCUACGGGAGGCAGCAGUGGGAAAUAUUGCACAAUGGGCGGAAGCAUGAUGCAGCAACGCCGCGUGCGGGAUGACGGCCUUCGGGUUGUAACCCGCUUUCGCCUGUGACGAAGCGUGAGUGACGGUAAUGGGUAAAGAAGCACCGGCUAACUACGUG